AUGGGACUUGCAUUAAUGUAGUAAAAAGAGAUUCUAAUCUCUAUGGUGCUGAAGGCCACACCCCGAACACAUCUUUCAAAAGCCAUCAACACGCGACACCAGUCUGACAUGACUCAGUUGUUGGACUAUUACCACUGACCCUUCCAUGCUGAAACAGAACAUAUUGUAUGCUGACCAUCAUUGUUGGCUGUAAGGAAUAUCAAGCUGACAGAAAAGCAUGUUGGGUGCUUUAAAGGUUUUCCUCUUUCUACUACAAGGUAGCUUAUGCGACGUGAAGUGGGAAAUCACCAUGCCUCAGAGAAUAGAUGGACUAACUGGAUCCUGUGUGAAGGUCCCCUGCACUUUCGCCGUUGACUCAACGUUUGAUGGACUUCUGGAUGGUUCCUGCAAAGCAAUUUGGAAAAGAGGAAGCACAGGCGGAACAAUUGUGUUUGAUUCCAGUCUCACUGGAGAUCAGGCAAGCGGAAACAUUCUGCAAGGAAACCUCACAGGGAACCUGCUGAACAAGGAGUGCACCACCAUCUUCUACAACAUGCAACCGUCCCAUUCUCACAAAUACUACUUCAGGAUUCAGUGUGAUAACAACCUGAAGGGCAACUAUCCA